UACGGGGGGGGCAAGCGUUGGUCGGAAUUACUGGGCGUAAGGGGCGCGUAGGCGGUUGGAUAAGUCAGCUGUGAAAACCACGGGCUUAACUCGUGGCCUGCAGUUGAGACUGUCUGGCUUGAGUGUGGGAGAGGAGAGUGGAAUUCCUGGUGUAGCGGUGAAAUGCGUAGAUAUCGAGAGGAACACCUGCGGCGAAGGCGGGUUGCUGGGCCGACACUGACGCUGAUGCGCGAAAGCCAGGGGAGCGAACGGG
rnacentral:rRNA from 1 species